rnacentral:rRNA from 1 species
UACAGAGGGUGCAAGCGUUGUUCGGAAUUAUUGGGCGUAAGGCGCGUGCAGGCGGCAAAGCAUGUCGGGUGUGAAAGCCCUCGGCUCAACCGAGGAAGAGCGCCCGAAACUACUUCGCUUGAGUACCGGAGAGGAUGGCGGAAUUCCCGGUGUAGAGGUGAAAUUCGUAGAUAUCGGGAGGAACACCAGUGGCGAAGGCGGCCAUCUGGACGGAUACUGACGCUGAGACGCGAAAGCGUGGGUAGCAAACAGGGAUUAGACACCCUGGUAGUCCACGCUGUAAACGAUGGGCACUAGGUGUCGCGGGUGUUGACCCCUGCGGUGCCGUCGCUAACGCAUUAAGUGCCCCCGCCUGGGAAGUACGGCCGCAAGGCUAAAACU